UUGCGAGUGAAGCGGCAACAGCUCAGAUUUGAAAUCUUUUUUGAUUAUAUCAGAACGAAUUGUAAUCUGGAGAAGGUUGAAUGGUUGAACAUCUGAUUUAAAUUCCUUGGAAUAGGAUAUCAUAGAGGGUGAGAAUCCCGUGAGUAUCAGAAACUAAGCCAAUUAAUUCACCUUUCGACGAGUCGAGUUGUUUGGGAAUGCAGCUCUAAAUGGGUGGUAAAUUUCAUCUAAAGCUAAAUACCUGCCAAAGACCGAUAGCGAACAAGUAGAGUGAUCGAAAGAUGAAAAGCACUUUGAAAAGAGAGUUAAAAAGUACGUGAAAUUAUUGAAAGGGAAGCGCUUGCCAUUAGACUUGAUAUUUGAAUUCAAUCAGCUUAUGAGCUCGAUUUAUUUUUCUUUUAUCAGGCCAGCAUCAGUUUGGUGGGAUUUAUAAAGACAGUCGGAAUGUAGUAAGGCCUUCGGGAAUUAUGUUAUAGCCUUCUGUGUCAUUAUAUCCAUACCAGACUGAGGGCUGCUUUUCGAAAAGGAUGCUGGCAUAAUG
rnacentral:rRNA from 1 species